ensembl:lncRNA
AUGCUACUCAGCAGCUCAAGAUAGUAGAGGCAGCUGCAUAGUUUUGAGUUUCAUUCUUCCUAUUCUUUAAAACCAAGUGUGUCAUCUGAUGGAAAAAUGCUGCUACCAGAGAUGAAGACCCAGCAGGAGCCCAAUGUGAGCACUGCCAAGCUGCCCCAGAGCCCAGUAUGAGCCCUGCAAGAGAAGAGGGAAAAAUAAGUUCCCUAUGGGCAGGUUUGGAGAUGCCCCUUCUGGUUCUCCUGCAGCACCACCAAGUGAUUGGAAGCAAGAGCUGCUCAGACGUGAUGGAGACAAUGGAGCUGAACCUCUCCUAGAAAAAUCACAGGCCACAGGGAGAUGCAAAACCUUCAAGGACAGCCUUUUCCCAUGUCCUCUGAAGGGAAAACCAGGAGGUAACGGGUACCUGUGCUCCAGCUGACUCAUUUUCAGUCUGGUGUAACCAUCCAC